CUACCGGCAGCUAGCUCUCUGCAACUCUCACAUGGUUGCACUGAAGUUAAGCAGGGCUGUGCCCAGUCAGUACCUGGAUGGGAGACCACAUGGGAAAGCCAGGUUGCUGAUGGA
rnacentral:rRNA from 1 species